AGGAUAUUGAUGUUCAGCAGUGCUCUCUCCCCGUCCAGGCCCAUCAGCCCCGUCAUAAAGCUGCCCGCAACAGCCUCUGCAUGAAGCCAUGGGCGGCCUGGAGAUGCCUUAGGAGGGCGGCCUGGAGAUGCCUUAAGAGGGCCGCCUGCCCUGUUCCGGGGUCGGGAGAUGACCUGGCUGUGGGAAGAGCCCUUGGGAAUCCACUGUGCAGCUCUGAGACACCGCAACUCUCGCCUUGAUCUCUCCAUCUGCCAAACAAAGAGAUGGUGCCCGAGACUCCCCUGGUUUCCCGGCCUCUACAAAGCCAGGGUUUGGAGCACGAUAUAAAAACGGCAAGACAGGCGCUGUCAAUCAGCCGCGGGACCCGGCAGAGCACUGUUCCUCUUCACAGUUGGAGAUGGAUUCAAUUUUCUUUCCACAGUUUUUCUGAAACCAAAGUGGCCUGACUCAUGAGUUAAUAUGGGCUUAUUUGGGAUGAUCUUAGAAGGCAAACAAGUUCAAAGAAUCGUUUGAUAGGAAAUGAAACCAGAAGUCAGUUGCAUAUGGAUGUUGGAAAUAAAUUUAUAAAUUAAGA